rnacentral:snRNA from 1 species
UCUGCGACAUUAAUUUGGGGCA